GUAGGUGGCGAGCGUUGUCCGGGAUUUACUGGGGCGUAAAGGGGCGUGCAGGGCGGGUUCGUUAAGUUCGAGGUGAAAGCUCCCGGCUCAACUGGGAGAGGUCCCCCGGAUACUGGCGGACUUGAGGGAGGUAGAGGAAAGUGGAAUUCCCGGUGUAGUGGUGAUAUGCGUAGAUAUCGGGAGGAACACCAGUGGCGAAGGCGGCUUUCUGGGCCUUACCUGACGCUGAGACGCGAAAGCGUGGGGAGCGAACCGGAUUAGAUACCCGGGUAGUCCACGCCGUAAACGAUGGACACUAGGUGUGGGGGGUAUCGACCCCCUCCGUGCCGAAGCUAACGCAGUAAGUGUCCCGCCUGGGGAGUACGGCCGCAAGGCUA
rnacentral:rRNA from 1 species